rnacentral:rRNA from 1 species
GAUGAACGCUGGCGGCGUGCCUAAUACAUGCAAGUCGAGCGAACGGAUGAGAAGCUUGCUUCUCUGAUGUUAGCGGCGGACGGGUGAGUAACACGUGGAUAACCUACCUAUAAGACUGGGAUAACUUCGGGAAACCGGAGCUAAUACCGGAUAAUAUUUUGAACCGCAUGGUUCAAAAGUGAAAGACGGUCUUGCUGUCACUUAUAGAUGGAUCCGCGCUGCAUUAGCUAGUUGGUAAGGUAGCGGCUUACCAAGGCAACGAUGCAUAGCCGACCUGAGAGGGUGAUCGGCCACACUGGAACUGAGACACGGUCCAGACUCCUACGGGAGGCAGCAGUAGGGAAUCUUCCGCAAUGGGCGAAAGCCUGACGGAGCAACGCCGCGUGAGUGAUGAAGGUCUUCGGAUCGUAAAACUCUGUUAUUAGGGAAGAACAUAUGUGUAAGUAACUGUGCACAUCUUGACGGUACCUAAUCAGAAAGCCACGGCUAACUACGUG